CCACCUUCGUCGAGUGGUUGGGGGAGGACAGGACAAGGCUUCUUCGCCUCUUCCGGCAUCUCACACCCUCGCCCCGACCGCCGGGCCGUCGUCGCCGAUCUCGACGCCGCCGCCCGCCAUGGCCGCCGCCGCCACUUCGCCUCCGGUUCCUUUAGGACCCGAGGCCUUCUCUCUCCCGGGCCUCCUUCCCAGCACUACGCAGCCAUGCAGAAAGAAGCGAGAUGGAGUCCAAGGCGUGCGUUAUUGAUCCUGCUCUGCUUCCAACUCUAGAGGGUUUACUGCUGGAAACGUAUGCAUCAUUGCAACCAAAGCCAGUCGACUAUGAGAACCGACAGGUUAUGAUCAAUGUCUUCAACAAAAUAGCGGAAGAGAUUUUUGGUAAAAAGAACGGGCUUCCUGUUGCAGAAGCAUUCGGAUCAUUCACAAUGGAUCUAUUUACUCCUGAAAGUGACCUUGACCUCUCGAUCAACUUUAAUACUGAUACCAAGGAUCUGUAUCCUCGCAAGGACAAGAUUAAUGCUAUUAGGAAGCUUACAAAAAUCCUAUAUUCUCAUCAGAGGCAUGGUCGUUGUUAUGGGGUUUUACCUAUUUCAACUGCUAGAGUUCCUGUAUUGAAGGUUACUGAUCAGGGAACUGGUGUAGAGUGUGAUAUUUCAAUAGAAAACAAAGAUGGCAUGUCAAGAUCAAUGAUAAUUAAAUUUAUCUCAUCAAUUGAUGAAAGAUUCCGGAUACUUUGUUAUCUGAUGAAGUUCUGGGCCAAGGCACAUGAUGUUAACAGCCCCAAAGAUCAAACAAUGAGCUCAAUGUCGAUUAUUUCUUUAGUUGCUUUCCAUUUACAGGUAAACUGAUACUGUUGUUGGUCCCUGCAAUCAAGGGCCAGGUAAGCAACCUGGUCACCUUCCUCUCCCUCUCUUUGGCUCCAAGGUAGAAGAAGAGCUGAGCUCUUCUGCACACACAUACACUCUGCUGUCUGCUCUCUGCGCUGGCUGAGAGCUGAACACUAGAAUGUGGCAAGAAUGAACUGCCUUUUCUCAUUGCAUUGCAUUCAUAUUUAUACACCAUUGCUACCUACUCUAAGGUGCUACCAGUUAUGGCUAAUAACUUCUAUCACUAUCUGAACAUUAGUGGCCUAGAGCCAUAAGUCAACAAAGGCUGCAAGUCAACAAAGGCUGCUAGCAAACUGCAGACUUCCUUGACCAAAAUCAGAAAAGGGACAGCUGCAGAUUAAGUCUUACAUUACUUCCCCUAAUCCUGCUGCUAGCCCUGGACCUCAUCCAUGCCGAUCAUCUUCCUCAAUUCCGAGAACCGAAGACGCCCGAGCGACUUGGUGAGGAUGUCAGCGAGUUGCCGUCCGGUGUUGACGAACUCGAUGACAAGGUGCCCCCCAUCGACGCAGUCCCGAAGAAAAUGGAACUUCACAUCGACAUGCUUGCUUCGGUCGUGAAAGACGGGGUUCUUUGCCAGCGCAAUGGCCGGCUGGUUGUCCACCUUGAGUGCUGGCGGGCGAGCUUCAACACCAGUGAGCUCACCCAACAGCCGGCGCAGCCAAACGACUUGGCACGCCGCGGUGGCCGCUGCAAUGUACUCCGAUUCACAGGUUGACAGCGCCACCACCUUCUGCUUCAGUGACUGCCAAGCCACCGGUGCGGUUCCAAGGGAGACGAGCACACCUGUGGUGCUCUUCCGUCCAUCCACAUCUCCAACCAUGUCCGCAUCGCUGAAUGCCGUCAGCUGAAGCCCGCCGUGCCUGGGGAAGACGACGCCCAUGUCCAGAGAGCCCUGGACGUAGCGCAGCACCCGCUUGACCGCUGUCCAGUGGUCCUCCCGCGGGUCUUCGAGGAAACGGCUCACAUACCCGACUGCGAACGUGAUGUCCGGCCGCGUAUGCGUCAGCCACCGCAGCCCGCCGACGAUGCUCCGGUAACGCGUUGCGUCCACCCUCGCCGCCGUGCUGUUCUUCGACAGCUUGAUCCGCUCCUCCAUCGGCGUCGCCAUGGGCUUGCAGCCCGUCAUCCUGGCCUGCUCCAGCAGUUUGAGCGCAUAGGCGCGCUGGCCCAGCUUGAUGGAGUCCCUCCCCUGCUUUACCUCGAUGCCGAGGUAGUAGGAGAGUGCGCCGAGAUUGCUCAUUUUGAAACGAGCCACCAUCUCGCAUUUGAACGCUUCAAUGUCCUACGCCCGAGCUCCGGUGACGAUCAGGUCGUCCACGUACACGCCGACGAUGAGCUCUUCCUUCCCCGUCGUCAUGUGUACAGCGCAUGCUCGGUGGCGCAGCGUGCGAACCCAAGCUCACCCAUGGUGGUGUCGAGCUUGGCAUUCCACGCCCUGGGAGCUUGGCGCAGCCCAUACAGAGCCUUCCGCAGCCGGAGCACCUUGUGCUCUGCACCCGGCACCGCGAAGCCCGGCGCCUGCUUGACGUAGACCUUCUCCUCCAGGUCGCCGUUCAAGAACGCCGAUUUGACGUCGAGGUGAUGGACCUGCCAGUCUUUUGCCGCCGCAAGAGCUAGCAGCAACCGCAUCGACUCCAUCCGAGCCACCGGUGCGAACACCUCCUCGAAAUCAAUCCCUUCACGCUGCACAAAACCACGGGCAACGAGCCGAGCCUUGUGUUUGACAAUGGCGCCGCGCUCGUCCCGCUUUACCUUGUAGACCCAUUUCAAGCCAAUCGGCCGGCAUCCCGCCGGCGGAUCGACCAGCUCCCAGGUGCGGUUGUCCUCGAUUGACCGCAUCUCCUCCAUCAUGGCCUUCCGCCAGUCCGCGUCACGCUCCGCAACCGCGAACGUGGCCGGCUCCUCCGCGCUCAUGAGCAUGAGCUCUGGAUCGGUGAGACGCGAGGCCAGCCCCGGCAGCUCUGCAUCACCGAUGACGUCGUCCACUCGCCUGAAUCGGAGCUCCUCUCCGUCGUGGUAGGCAUCCACGAACUCCGAGUAGGAGGACGGGGGGAUGCGAACUCAGGAUCCGCCGCCGCUGUCGGGGUCCCCUGUUCUGGAAAAACAGGGGAGGCUGGGGACGCUGAACUCGCCGCGCCAGGACUUGGCGGAACCUCCGCCGUGCCAGGACUUGGAGGCUCCACCGCCUCCGCUUCUGGCUCCUGCGCUGCCUCCUCUGCGCCACUCCGGUGCUCGAUCACCAGCUGCUCGACGACGAAUUCGCCCGUCAAGCCGCCGCCGGACCCCUCUGCUUCCCCUGCCGCGGGCGUGCUCCAACUCCAUGCCGCCACCUCGUCGAAAAUGACAUCCCGGGACACCACCACCUUCCCCCGGGCUGGGUCGUAGAGCCGAUAGGCCUUCGUCCCAUCUUCAUAGCCCAGGAACACCAUCUUGGUGCUCCGAUCUUCAAGCUUCCCAAGGCCUGGCUUGACGGUCUUCACGUGCCCGAUGCAGCCGAACGUGCGUAGGUACGAGACGUUUGGCUUACGCCCAUACCACGCCUGAUACGUCGUCAUCCCCUUCAGGGCCUUGGUCGGUGAGCGGUUCAAGAUGAACACCGCCGUGCUCACCGCCUCGCCCCAGAAUUCCGCCGGCAUCGCCUUCGCCUUCAUCAUCGAGCGUGCCAUCCCAACGAUGGUUUGAUUUCGCCGCUCGACUACGCCAUUCUGCUGUGGCGAAUAUGGUGCCGUCAGUUGACGCGCCACUCCCUCUCCUGCGCAGUAGCUGGCAAAUUCCACCGCUGUGAACUCGCCGCCACGGUCGGUACUGAGGACGCGCAGCCUCUUCCCGGAGUCCGCCUCUGCCCGCGCCUUGAAGCGCCUGAUGGCCUCCGCCGCCUCAUCUUUGCUCGUCAGGAGCUGCAGCCACAUAUACCGACUGCAGUCGUCCACGAGCAGGAGGAAGUAUCUCCGACCACCAUGCGUCGUCGGUGUGAUGGGCCCGCACAGGUCCCCGUGGACCAGCUGGAGCACCUCCUGCGCCCGGUACUUGGCCGCCUUUGGGAACGGCAGACGCCUCUGCUUCCCGGCCAAGCAGCUGUCGCAGAGCUCGUUGACGUGCUUGAUCUGCGGCAGCCCGGUCACCAUCUUGCCCAGGCGUCCAAGCGCCUCAAAGCUCAAGUGGCCGAACCUCCCAUGCCACAGCCAUGGUUCCUCCGUGCACGCCGCCGCGAGACACACCGGUUGCUCCACCUUCAAAUCCAGGAGAUAAAGCCGGUUACGGGAACGUGUUACCUUGGCGAGAAGACGUCGUUCUCGGUCCCUGAUGCUUAGUACUCCGGCCUUGACGAGCACCUCCGACCCGUGCUCAUCCAGCUGCCCCAAGCUCACAAUGUUUGAGCGCAGCUGGGGAAUGUAAUACACUUCCUGGAGUGCACGGUGCUCGCCGUUGCGGCACCUGAAGAGGACCGUGCCCUGCCCGCGGAUGAUGACCCGCGAGCCAUCGCCGAACUUGACCGUCCCGGUCUUGGUUUCGUCGAGGUCAGAGAAGGCGGCCCUGCUCCCCGUCAUGUGGUUGCUGGCCCCAGAGUCCAGGUACCACCUCUGCUCCAGCUCAGUCGCCGACCGCGCCCAGCAACACCCGCGCCUCUGGCUCGUCAAGGUUGACGGGCUGCGGCGCAGUCCUCUGCUCCGUGUCCGCCUCCUCUGCUUCGCCAUCCUUCAGCGCGCAGUACUGCGCCAUCAACAGCGCGUGGCCGUCGUCGCUCUCUUCUUGAGCUAGGUGGGCCUCCUCCUUCUCUUUCCGCUUCGGGCACUCCUUAGCCCAGUGCCCGAUCUUGCCGCACUUGCGGCAGGCAUCGGGGUCGAAGUUCUUCUUCUUUUUCCCCUUCCCGCGCGGAUUCCCGCGCGCCUUGUUGCCGCCGGCAUACCCGCCGCGGCUUGAGGAGUUCUCCCCGGUCCGCCGCUUCAUGCACGCGUUCCACUCCUCCUCGGUGAGCAGCAACUUGCCACUCUCCUGCCUCCGCUCCAGCGGCGCAUCAGAACGCCCUUCGGCCAGGCGAAGUCGACCGACGACGUCCUCGAGCGAGACCUGAUCCAGGUCCAAGGUGGCCUCGAUUGUAACCGCCAUCUGGCUGUACUUGGCCGGGCACGCGCGGAGCAGCUUGCAGACGACGUCCUCCUCCUCCAACUUCUUCCCCAGCGUUGCCAACUGGCUUGCCAACGACUGGAGUCGGAGCGCAAAGUCCUCCACAGCCUCGCCGUGGCGGAACUUCAGGUCGUCGAAGUCCCUGCGCAGCUGCUGCGCCUUGGCCCUCUUGGCUCGAUCCGAGCCAACUCGGAAUGAAGCCAGCAUGUCCCACGCCUCCUUCGCCGUCUUCUUGUUGCCGAUGGCCUCGUGGAACUCUGGUGGCGUGGAUGACAGCAGUGCGUCCAUGGCCUGGACGUCUUCAUCCUCUUCUUUGGUGCCGACUUCCACGGCCGUCCAGAGCUUGCGCGCCUUGAGCCGCCACUUCAUCAGCACCACCCACUCGCCAUAGUUGGUGCGAGUGAGCUGCGGCCAGUCCCGCGAGCUCGUCUCCCGCACCGUCCUGAUCACAACCUCCGAGACAUCCUUCCCUUGUCGCCUGCACUGGACGCCGGGGAGUUUUCGCCAGCCAUCGUUCAGCCGCUGGGCUAGAACGACACGUACGGCUCUGAUGCCACUUGUUGGUCCCUGCAAUCAAGGGCCAGGUAAGCAACCUGGUCACCUUCCUCUCCCUCUCUUUGGCUCCAAGGUAGAAGAAGAGCUGAGCUCUUCUGCACACACAUACACUCUGCUGUCUGCUCUCUGCGCUGGCUGAGAGCUGAACACUAGAAUGUGGCAAGAAUGAACUGUCUUUUCUCAUUGCGUUGCAUUCAUAUUUAUACACCAUUGCUACCUACUCUAAGGUGCUACCAGUUAUGGCUAAUAACUUCUAUCACUAUCUGAACAUUAGUGGCCUAGAGCCAUAAGUCAACAAAGGCUGCAAGUCAACAAAGGCUGCUAGCAAACUGCAGACUUCCUUGACCAAAAUCAGAAAAGGGACAGCUGCAGAUUAAGUCUUACAACUGUUACUUUUGGAUUUAUUUUCUGUCAUUCUGCAUGAUCAUGAGUAGAAAGUAGUUUCACUGUUCAUAUGGAACUUCCAUAACAGAUUUGUGGCCUGAAUGUAUAUGAUGGCUUUUUGUAGCAACUCUCUUUUAUAUUUGAACACUGAAAAAAAUGAAUUCACUUGAUAAUUGUACAAUGUGGAUUGCAGACCCGGCGCCCUCCGAUAUUGCCUGCAUUUUCUGCCAUAUUGAAAGAUGGUUCAGAUUUUGCAAGUAUUGAGAAGAAUGUCUCACUAUUCAAUGGUUUUGGGAGCAGCAAUAAAGAAUCUAUUGCUGAACUUUUUGUAUCAAUGAUGGUUAAACUAGUGUCAGUGGAGGGUUUAUGGGAGCAAGGGCUCUGUGCCAGCAAUUUUGAAGGAUCAUGGAUAUCAAAGACCUGGGGAAAAGGUGUUGGCAAUUUGAGUAAUUUCGCCAGAUGUGUAGGGAUGGGACAGAUGCAGAAAAUCUGCGAAUGCCUAAGGGCUACUGUUUCUGAUUUGAGCAAGUUUUUUAUGGGUAAAACUGCUGCGCCCAAGCUAAAGGCCCUUUCGUUUGAGCCUUUGAACCAGGUUAAGCCAGUCACUGAUCCCAUUCAGAAAACUGUUAAGAGGAAGCGUGUUAAUCCAAACAACACAAGCACUAACCCUAGUAAGAGAAAUGCUAAGAAGAAGAAGAAGCCCCUUGAGCAGGACAAGCCAGUCAUUUCUCUUGGUCAGCGAGAUGAUAAGAAGCCCCUGGAUCAGAAGCCAGUCACUUCUCCCAUUCAGAAAGAUGCUAAUAGGGACAAGCCCCUUGAUCAGGUUAAGCCAGUCAUUUCUGCUGGCCAGAAAGAUGACAAGACGGAGAAGCCCCUUGAGCAGGAUAAGGCAGCCAUUUACCCCGGUCAGAAAGAUGCUAAGAAGAACAAGCCCUUUGGUCAGGAUAAGCCGGCCAUUUCUCCUUGCCAGAAAGAUGAUAGGAAGAAGCCCCUUGGUCAGGAUAAGCCGGCCAUUUCUCCUGGCCAGAAAGAUGCUAAGAAGAAGAGCAGCAACGUGGGACGUGACUCAGGAAGCAGUCAAGAGCAACAAAAGAAAGCAAAGGUUACUGUAUACACUUCUGGUUCACGACCUCCUAGUGUUAUCCCUCCUCAAAGAAUGCAUCGACCAGUACUCACCCAGCCAAUUAUUAAUCAGUUUGCACAUAUACCUCAGCAUCCGAUCACCCCUCCUGCUUUUGGUUAUGGGUUGCCACCACCGCAUUUGCAUUCAGCUUAUCAGCACCCUCAUCUGGGAUUGGUAGGUCAACCGCAGGGUGAUUUCCUUCAUUUGUAUCAUGGGAUUCAGAUGCAGCAUCAAGGACAGGCUAUGUUUCGCCCUCCUCCUCCAGCAGCCCACCAUCCCGUGCUCAAUGGGCUUCACCCGUAUGGUAGCAUUGGUGCUCAGCAGAUGCAGCAUAUCGAUAAUAGGCUGGUUCAGAGGCCACCGUACGGAAUGAGGCAAGGUUUCUGGAGAUGACUGUUGCGGCUUGGGAAAGUAGAUAUGUAGGUAGUUGGCGGGCUUUUUUUGAGGCGAAAGCUUAAAGACUGUUGUUGUGUAACUAGCUGUGUGCCAUUGUGUUUGUAACUGUUGUGAAAAGAAAAGUUGUAAGGUGAGAAUGGGAGGCUAGGUCUUAGUUUAAUCUGUUGAUUCUGUUGAAGUGUGUUGUAAUUGUGCGAGGUUUAUCUGAGAUGUGAGACCGAGUUGUCGAAAAUGUGGACAGCCGUAUUUGUAUUUAUGGACCAGGCAUGCACAGUCUGUAUUGCUGGGUUGCGAAUCAUAACGAUAAUCUCAAACUGGAAGCCAAUGCCAUAA